AAAUAUGUUGGUCUAAGUAUGUAGAGGGUACCAUAGGCAAAUCCGUGGUACGUAACCUUGAAAUAUGAUAGAUAGGGAAAGGUUCGCUAAGUACCGAAGUAUCUGACGCUUUGCUUCUAAAAAAAGCUUCUAAGUUUGGUUCGACCAAAAAUAAUAAUAUUACCCGUACCGAGAACGAACACACGUGGUCGAGGAGAAUAUCCUCAGGCAAGCGAGAUAACUAUGGUUAAGGAACUUUGCAAAUUAGCCCCGUAAGUUCGCGAGAAGGGGUGCCUGUGAAAACACAGGCCGCAGUUAAGAGGCACGAACGACUGUUUACCAAAAACACAGCUCUCUGCUAAGGAGUAAUCCGAUGUAUAGGGGGCGACGCCUGCCCGGUGCUGGAAGGUUAAGAGGAUGAGUUAGCCGCAAGGUGAAGCUCUGAAUUGAAGCCCCAGUGAACGGCGGCCGUAACUAUAACGGUCCAAAGGUAGCGAAAUUCCUUGUCAGGUAAGUUCUGACCCGCAUGAAAGGCGUAACGAUUCGUGCACUGUCUCAACCAUAGACUCGGUGAAAUCUUAGUACCUGUGAAGAUGCAGGUUACCCGCAACUAGACGGAAAGACCCCGUGGAGCUUUACUGCAACCUGAUAUUGACUUUUUUUCUGAACUGUGCAGGAUAGGUGGGAGACUGUGAAGUUGGUUCGCUAGAAUCAACUGAGUCAACGGUGAGAUACCACUCUGUUCAGCAGAAAAGUCUAACUUAUUGGUUUUACCACCAAAAGGACAGUGUUUGGUGGGUAGUUUAACUGGGGCGGUUGCCUCCUAAAAAGUAACGGAGGCGUUCAAAGGUAUCCUCAGCAGGAAUAGAAAUCCUGUGAUGAGCGUAAAGGUAGAAGGAUGCUUAACUGUGAGACUGACCAGUCGAACAGAUACGAAAGUAGGACUUAGUGAUCUGCCGAUGCUUAGUGGUAAGGUCGGCACUCAACGAAUAAAAGUUACCCCGGGGAUAACAGGCUUAUCUUUUCCAAGCGACCAUAGCGACGAAAAGGAUUGGCACCUCGAUGUCGGCUCUUCUCAUCCUGGUGGUGAAGAAGCUACCAAGGGUUGGGCUGUUCGCCCAUUAAAGAGGAACGUGAGCUGGGUUCAGAACGUCGUGAGACAGUUUGGUUCCUAUCUAUUGCGGGCGCAGGAAAUUUGCGGGGGGCUGUCCCUAGUACGACAGGACCGGGAUGGACUAACCAAUGGCGUACCAGUUGUCAUGUCAAUGGCACGGCUGGAUAGUUAUGUUAGGAAUAGAUAAGCGCUGAAAGCAUCUAAGUGCGAAGCUAGCCCCAAGAUGAGAUUUCCCAUCCCGAAAGGGAGUAAGAUACCUUCUAGACUAGGAGGUUGAUAGGCACCAAGUGCAAGCAGAGUAAUCUGUUUAGAGCUAAGUUGUACUAAUUUUUCGAGGGA
rnacentral:rRNA from 1 species